rnacentral:rRNA from 1 species
CCCCUAGAUGUUCUGGGCCGCACGCGCGCUACACUGAACAGUUCAACAAGUCUUAACCUUGGCCGAUAGGUCUGGGUAAUCUUUGAACGCUGUUCGUGAUUGGGAUAGACCUUUGCAAUUAUGGGUCUUCAACGAGGAAUUCCUAGUAAACGCAAGUCAUCAGCUUGCAUUGAUUACGUCCCUGCCCUUUGUACACACCGCCCGUCGCACCUACCGAUUGAAUGGUCCGGUGAAAUCUCGGGACGGCGGCUCGGUCGCUUGCGUCCGACUGCUGAAACUUGAUUAAACCAUAUCAUUUAGAGGAAGGUGAAGUCGUAACG